UCCAACCUGCUUAUGUGACACCCUUUACGAUUUAACUCGAGAAGCAGGACUUUUGAUUUGAUUCUAUAGGGGUUAGUGCGACUUCAAAAUUUCCAAAGCUGAGUACCCAAGUUUAGAGAAAUAUCAAUUCCGGUGGCUCUAUACAAACGGGUUACUUGGAGUCAUUUUUCCUUUGCCUUCUCUACACAUUAUUGAAAAGCAGAAAAAACAAGGUCAUGGUGGUAUGGAACUGGGUGGUUCAGAAGCUUUGUUGCGGAUUAUGGAGUUCCUUUAAUGGUUCUUGUGUGGUCGGCACUCUCAUAUGAAGUGCCAAGCAAAGUGCCCUCUGGAGUUUCUAGAAGGCUCUUUAGUCCCCUUUCCCACCGAAUUGUUCUUUUUCUAUAAUCGAGAAUUGUGAAUAGUCAAUGUAAUAGCUAAUAAUAACAUUACAUUUAGAUUGCAGAUUCUUUUUCUCUUUUUUUUUUGUGUUCCAGAUUUGCCAAUGGGUGAUAUAGCCAAAGAUUUAACAUCUGGAACUGUAGGUGGAGCAACACAAUUGAUCAUAGGUCACCCUUUUGAUACCAUAAAGGUCAAGCUUCGAAGCCAGCCUACUCCACUUCCAGGGCAGCAACCAAAAUAUUCUGGUGCUAUAGAUGCUAUCCGGCAAACAGUAGCUGCGGAAGGUGACAGGGGGCUGUUCAAAGACAUGGGAGCCCCGCUUGCAACUGUGGAAGCCUUUAAUGCUGUGCUAUUCAUAGUGAGAGGUCAAACAGAGGCAUUUUUGAGGUGGAGUUUCUCUUACUGUGAACCAGCAAAUCGUUUGCGGGGCUGUUGCUGGAACUGCUGCGUCUUUUCUUGCUUGCCCAACUGAGCUUAUAAAAUGCAGAGUUUGCUUUGUGUCUUAAUUCGGAGGAGGCUGGUCAAAAGUGCCAAGGAGAGUAUAAAGCAACAGGGUAGCAACUCUGAAAUUUUUGGCAAUAUGCAAGCAGUUUUCAUAGAGAUCAAUAGUUCUCCUGAUACCACAGUAGCUAAAGAGUUGGAAUAUCUAAAAGAGGCAGUAAUGAGAAGUACUGAAAACAAAAAUGGAGAUAAAGCAGAGGCCACAUUUGAUACCAUUGGAGAAUUGAUAGUUGGAAGUGCCAUUUAAUAGUUAGAUUCUUUCUACUACUCGUUACAACAUCGCUCUGGAGUAUGAGUAUAGGAUUGGAGGUAAAUGAAUUCAUCAGGGGCAUCCCAAAAGCACAGUUGUGGCUGGCCGUUAUAGUUGGUUCAUUUGGUGUGUGGAUCAGAUGGUUCUUAGCAUGACUAACAAUAUAUCAGCAGCUUGCAUUAGUUUUAACCUUGAAGAAAGUAUUUGUUAAAAAGCUAAAGUCUGAGCCACCUACAAAGGAGAUGAAGCUUCAGUUGAUACGAGAAAUCGCAGUUGAAGUAUUGGUGAAUGUUGCUUGUAUAAUGGAGAAAGCUGAUGAGACAUUGUUACCUGGUGUUUAUAAAGAAUUUGGCAAGGAUUUACAUACUGAUCCUACUUGUAUUGGUUCACUUACUCUCUUUAGAUCAUUGGUUCAAUGCAUUUGUUACCUCUUGGUUGUGUGUCUUUUUCCUCAUUAUAAUAGAGCUCAUGUUAUUGCU